ACUCCCUCCUCAUGAUGCCCUGAUGCAAAUCUUCAGUCUGUGCAGUGUACUUCUGUCCUGCUGACUGCUCUUGUACUUUGUGUGGAGCAUCAGAGGUCACAUCUCCAGCCUCAGGAUGAUGAACACACUCACUCUUCUGCUGGUUGCUCUCUCUCUGUCCUGUUGUACAGGUCAGAGUAUGGAGUCCAUUCCUUCCAGUUCAGUAGUGAAAAGGCCUGGGGAGACUCUCAGUCUGUCCUGCAGGGGAUCUGGCUUCACAUUCAGCUGCUGCACUAUGAACUGGAUCAGACAACCUGCAGGAGAAGGACUGGAAUGGAUCGGGGAAGGCUGGACAGAUGCCAGUAAAAACACAUAUGCCAGCAGUGUGCGAGGACGUGCAGAAAUCCGCAAAGAUAACAGCAACAGCAUGGUGUAUCUGAGACUGUCCAACUUAAAGCCAGAGGACUCUGCUGUGUAUUACUGUGCCAAACACACACACUGGUUAAAGGAAGCAGAGAAGCUUUACAAAAACUCCACAGAACAUUUGUUUCCAAAGACCUACAGGUGGCAGCAGAACAUAUGAAGUCAGAUGACACUAACUAAGGAGAGUAUGACAGUGACUCUAAACACUCACACAUACAUACAUGCAUCAUAUGAAAACAACAGCUGAUGUUGUGGUUUGUGACUUCCUGU